rnacentral:rRNA from 1 species
ACGUAAUAGGUGGGAACGUCAUGGGAGUACUGCCGGGGUCGAACUCGGAGGAAGGUAGGGGAGUGACGUCAAAUACAUCAUGCCCCUUACUGUCUUGGGCGUUCACGCAUGCUACAAUGGCCGGUACAAAGGGACGUGCAAUACCGUAAGGUGGAGCGAAUCCCAAAAAGCCGGUCCCAGUUCGGAUUGAGGUCUGCAACUCGACCUCAUGAAGUCGGAGUCGCUAGUAAUCGCAGAUCAGCAACGCUGCGGUGAAUACGUUCCCGGGUCUU